rnacentral:rRNA from 1 species
UACGGAGGGUGCGAGCGUUGUCCGGAAUCAUUGGGCGUAAAGGGCGCGUAGGUGGCCCGGUCAGCGUGCGGUGAAAGCUCGGGGCUCAACCCCGAGUCGGCCGUGCGAACUGCUGGGCUUGAGCACUGUAGAGGCAGGCGGAAUUCCGGGUGUAGCGGUGGAAUGCGUAGAGAUCCGGAAGAACACCGGUGGCGAAGGCGGCCUGCUGGGCAGUGGCUGACACUGAGGCUCGAAAGCGUGGGGAGCAAACAGG